rnacentral:lncRNA from 1 species
UUUAUCCUGAAAUCUUUGACUCGAUACACAUUUCAGAUUUUGCACCUCACAUAGCAUUAGGAGCCAAGGAGUACCUGGAAUUCAAAAACAAACAAGAGAUGAUGAGGAUCUCAGCAAUAACAAAAGUGUGAGCAGAUCAACAAGUCAAACAACCAUAUUCAGCGUCCUUGAACCCCAGAUAACCAGCAACUUGUUUGAGUGAUAACCAAGAAGCAAUUUUAUACAAUUUGCAACCACAAAAUGAUGUUGAACCUUUUGUGUUUUUAGAGCAUCAAUCUUAUCUUUUUAGAAGUUUUGUGUAGAAAAAUGAGGCUAUAGAUCCCCUCCUCUAAUGAAGGAAAUGCAGUCUCUUUAUAUCCCUAAAUAAAAUCUCAUGUGCUGAAAUAGAAGGAAAUAUUUUCAUCCUGCGUUUUUAACUGAAUGGGACAGCUAGCAACCUUUCAUUGGCUCCAUCACUUGUGCUAGCCAAGAUUGGGCCAGCUGCCCUGUGAAGCCCCGUGAAAAUUUCUACUCAAAAACCCAAAUCUCGUGGUGCUAAGUUGGAAUCAUGUGUUAGAAAUUCAUAAAAGUUUUCGCGACGAGGACCCUUUGGAUUGAUUUGUGCUCUAAAAAGUCAAGAAAUAAUGUUUUCCAUAAAAGUGCGAUUCUACAGUCAAGAAUGUGAUCGCAUAUCAGGUAUGCGGACCACAUAGUUCCCGCAAAGUGAGUCAGUGUGUUGGUCAAAUUUGAGGUCAAAUCUGGGUCAAUUAUGCAAUCAUAUAGCCAAUAUGCGAACCGCAUAGUCAUCGUAUAAUUCCCUUGGGAUUUUGUGAGGGGCAGUUCUGCGAUGCAUUAUGCGACCGUAGAAUGGGUAUGCGAAUUGCGUUUUUACCAUAUACCUAGACAGUGUGUUCAGGUUUUGGGGAGCAUUUUUGCGCUCCAUUAUGCUAUCUGCAUGUCAAGUUUUGCGAUUGCAUAUCUGACUCGGAGAUCCUGUUUUUGAAUUAUUAAAACCCCCAUCAAAAAUACCUCAUUAGACCAUUUCCUGUUAUUUCAUGACAUAUAGAGUGAGAGGGUGAGUUCUAGAGUAAGAAGGAGUAAUCUUCAUCAAGUCCUCUCUCAAUCCUUGCCCCAAAUCCUCAAAGAUUUUAAAUUGAGGUUGUUAGUCUUCAUCCUAAAAUGUAAGAUUAUUGUACCCUCAUUAAUGAUUUUAAAACUUUUGUUAAAAUAGGUAAUUAGCAAGUGAGUACAUGGGUAUAAGGGCUGGCAAUCUUGCAUGCACAAGAAAUAAUGGGGUAUGGGAGGAUGAGAACUAAAGAGACAACAUUUAGGGUAUAAUGUAGAAGAAAUUUCAAAAGAGGCUAAGAUUAUAAUGCACCUUCUAUGUUUGACGUGCUAAGAGUCCCGAAAUUUUAUAAGAAUUAGGAAAAAUCUUUAUUGAGGUAUGUAUGGCUAAAUCCCUCUCCUCUUAGAAAUUAAGCUUCCAUGGUGCAAGUGUAAGUGUUGAAAGUUUGAACCAUAGUUGAUGUAGUGCUUGUUAUGUUAAGUAAAUUGAUGUUGUGAAAAUGUAUAUGGUAGGUACUUCUUUAGGUGUUAAUGUGCUAUUCUUGUAAAUGGAAGAUGUGUGGAGAACAUGAUUUAUUUUCCAACUGCCUAACUAUCAUGCCAAGUUUACUUUGGAAUUAAUAUGCCAAACUUAACGAAUUUCUUUCUAUGUUAUGACUUAAAUUGCUUUUGUAUAUGCUUGUGACUUUAAGUGGCAAGGUAUAUGUAGAAAAAGGGACAAUGUGAAACAUGAGUUAUGAAAUAUGGAAAUUGUGGCCCCAAGUGCCGGUAAAAUAAUACAUGUGUAACCAAAGAUUGGAGUGAGAUGAAUAAUGAAAAAUGGUAACGUCUCGGGGAGGCGGCUUAGCCGAUCAGGCCGUGAUUGGACGUCAUGAUAUAUACAUGUGAUGAUAAUGCAUUGAUGAUUGAAACUAGAAAGCGUGAAUGAAAUAAUGGUAACGUCUCUAGGAGACGGCUUAGCCGAUCGGGCCGUGAUCGGACUCUGCUCAAAGAAGCGGUGACAAUGUGGAUAAUGAUACGAUAGUGUGGGAUGCUCCAAUCUAAAAUUACAGAAACUAAGUGAAAAUCAUAUGAACUUCCUUAUAUUGUUGGCAUGGUGCUUAUUUAAUACUUUGUUGUCUUUACGAUUUCCUCUUUACUCUUAUGUGGUUGUUCUUUCUAGCAGGAUGGUGUUUAGUUAUACAUACUGGUACUAUCCCAUGGUACUAACGUCCAUUUUCGGGGACGCUACAUUUUUAAAUGAAUACAGGUGGGUACAUAGCGGAUAGUGGCGAUCGUGUGUAGUGGAGCAUCCUUUUCUCAAUAUCUUGGUGAGCCCCUUCCUCCUUCAAGGGGUUAUGUUGUACACCUUUUGAUAUAGAUUAUCCAUUUUGAGGUAUAGCCGGGGCCUUAUUGCCGGUAUUGUUAUUAUUGUCUUUUGUAUCCUUAGAGGCUACGUAGACGUUUUUGUGGGUUAUGUAGGGGUAUUGGAUAGGUCAUUGAACUAUGUUGUAAUCUUGUACUCUUGCUUUCUUCGAAAUUAUAACCAUAUGGAAUCUUGGAAACUUAAUUACGAUUUAAUGUCGUGACAUAAAAUGAACUAAAAAUAUUGAAUGUACUAUCUUUCCUUGUUUAAAUAAAUGAAAGCAUGGUUUCCUUAUGCAUAUUGAGUUGGGUAGGUAGUGUUUGAUAAGGUUUGCUCAGUUGGGUUCACUCGAUUGAGCAUCGGUCGUGCCUCCCGAGCUUGGGGCGUGAUAUGCCCAUAUUUUAGAAGUUUCCCCAACACAAAAAUCUGAUUUUCUUUUACUCUCAAAACUCCCAAGUUUCUAUUAUUCAACUAAUGCCCCAAUAAUUUCCUAAUCAUUAUUAACUAAAGAAACAACACAAAAUGAAAAACUAUCAGUAAAAUUAAAUCAAACAGCCGGCUAUUCGCCACAUUUGUUCAUAAUUAAAUAGGAACGAGCAUUGAUCAUUUGGCUCUAAAAUCUCAAAACAAAGAAAAACUUAAAUUCUAAAACAUGCAAUUGGUGCCAGAAUAUAAAAGAAACAGGAAAACACAAAGAACCAGAAUAACGAUAAAUUUUCCUAACAGUUAAGAGUCCUAAUUAACUUAAGGAAGUACACAUUACAAUUAGUUUAAAGAAAAUAAAACCUGAUUAAUUCAAACAAAUAGAUAAUAACGACCAAUUGAACAAAUAACUAACAAAAACAAAUUCAAACAAGCAGAUGAUUAGAAUUAAAUAAAAAUUAGAAAACAAGCAAAAAAUAAAAUCAAAGAGAAAACAGUAAGUACUGAUCUAACCGGAAAGAACAAAUGAUUGAGCUAACCCAACGAACAAAAAAGGAGAUGAGCUAUGCCAAGAACAACGGUUCGAUCGAUAUAGCGAACCUUGAGACAAGUCAAAACUAGCAUUAGGCAAAGGUUCUUCACAAGAACAGUUGUUUAACAUUUGUUUCGAGUCAAAUCACGCACCCGGGAGGCAAAGGAAUCGGAAUUAGGGUGGAUUUAAGGCUUUCUUAGAUCUGGUUUUUGGGGAGUUUGAUGGGGGGUUUUUGGUAGGACGGUUGAUAAAUUAGUGUAGAGGGGAGGCCGGGGAUCAUGAGUAUAAUUUUGGAGGUGGUUUGUGUGGCGCCGCCACCGAAGAUGGUGAGUAUUAUUAGGGCGCUCUCUAGGGUUCUUGUCUCUGAACAUGGAGACGAUGAUCCGAAGGAAAUGAAACGGGAGGGGGGCAUAUAUUAGGACACUUAUAUAAGAAACUAAUGGCCAGUUCCGGACUAUGUGAUUGAGUGAAAUCAACGGCUCAGAUAAAAAACGGUCGAAAACGGGGCCGUUUAGCUAGGUUGUAGACAAGACGGGUUUGGGUGGAGUAUGGGUCGGGUUUGAAAUGGGUUCUGGGGGAAUUUAUUUGGGCCUGGUCGAAUUAGUUUUAAUAGUCCGCUUUUUAUUCUCUCCCCCGCCCCCUUUUAAUUUUCAAUUUUCCUUUUCAUUUCCAAAUUAAUUUAAAAUCUAAAUUAACUCUUAAACUAAAUUAGUUUACCAAAUUAGACUAAUUACCCAUCAUAGUAUUUAUAAAAAUUAUAAAAUUUAAAAUUAAAAGGUUAAAAAUACAAAGUGAGUCAUAUUCUGUAAUUUUUUUAUUUUAUAAAAUAACUAAUUUACUAAUUAAAAAUAUAGGAAUUAAUUCUAAAUGCAAAUGCAGAGUAUUUUUGUAUUUUUAUGACUUAAAUAAAUAUUAAACAUGCACAGAAAAAUGCUAAGAAAAAUCUACAAAAAUUUCUAAAAUGGCAAAUAAUUAAAAGAAAAAUCUAUUUCUUUGGGAUUCUGUAGGAGUAUUUCAUAUAGGCAAAAAUUACAUGCUCACAACUACCCCUCUUUUCUCGAAAACACAAAGAGUUUUUGUGCAAAGAUAAAGUGAGCGGAUACGAGCGAUUUUUGCCCAUUUAAACACUCCGUGGGAAAUAUUUUUGAAAUAUUUGACCGCACCCUUCUUUCGAGAUUGCCUACAUAUCCUUAGUUAUAAAAGAAUCAGGUCAGUAUAGUUCGUAAAGUUUCGGUAGCUGGGACUACUAGGAAGCUGUGAUUUUAUUUUACUGCUGCUACUGCUGCUUGCUGAACUCCUUAUUACACAAAGACAAAAUAAAAGAAGCUAGACUAAACUAUGAUAUAUGAAUUACAAAAAUCUUAUCUACACUUCUUCAAACUUGAUCUUGCAGUUUCUGCUACUCUGUUGACUUGUACUCUUUAAGUGAACUUCCUUUGUUGCUGACUUGAAUUGUAUUUAGAGGUGUUUUCUCUUUGUUCUCCAGGUGGGCGCCUGAUUUUUGAAUUUGAACCGUCUCCCUUUGGAAUAUUGUUGGUUCCCUUUUUUCUCCAGAUGGGCGCCUGAUUUCCAACACUUGCCAGCUUUUCUUUGGGAAUUGAACUAACCCAUUUGUUCUCCAGGUGGGCUCCUGAUUGGUGAACUUGAAACGUUUUCCUUUGAACACUAAUGCAUUCCUUUUGUUCUCCAAGUGGGCUCCUAGUUGCUGAACUUGAAACGUCUUCCUUUGAACACUGUUUCCUUCAAUUUGUCCUCCAGGAAGGCUCCUGAUUGCUGAACUUGAUCGUCUUCCUUUGAACACUAUUGCCUUCCCUUUGUUUUCUAGGCAGGGUCCUGAUUACUAUCUUACUUUGAAUAUUGUUGCUUUCCCUUUGUUCUCCAAGUGGGCGCCUUAUUUCCAACACUUGCACUGCUUUUCCUUGGGACUUGAACUGUUUCCCUUUAUUCUCCAGGCGAGCUCUUAAUUGCUAAACUUGAAACGUCUUCCUUUGAACACUACUGCCUUCCCUUUAUUCUCCGGGUAGGCUCCUGAUUUCCACCACUUGCACUGCUUUUCCUUGGGACUUGAACUAUUUCCAUUUGUUCUUCAGGUGGGCUCAUGAUUGUUGAACUUGAAACGUAUUCCUUUGAACACUGCUGCCUUCCCUUUGUUCUCUAGGUGUGCUCCUGAUUGCUAUCUUCCUUUCAACAUUGCUUCUUUUUCUUUGUUCUCCGGAUGGGUGCCUGAUUUCCAACACUUGCACUGCUUUUCCUUGGGACUUGAACUAUUUCCCUUUGUUCUCCAGGUGGGCUCCUGAUUGCUGAACUUGAACUGAUUUCCUUUGAACUUGUGCCGUCCUCCCUUUGUUCUCCAGGUGGGUGCCUGAUUUCAACAAAACAAACAAAACAAAAGAAAUUUUUCUAUGCCAGUUUGAUAUUGGGAGCAGCUGUGAGUAUUAACUGAUUCAUGUUAUCAGAACAAAUUCUAAACUAACAUCCUUUAUCCUGAAAAUUUCAAACCAAGCCUUAUCUCAAAAGUGAAAAGCUUAGAUGCCAAAUUAUACUUCCCAAAAGUAGCCCUCUCGACCUUGUCAUUUGCGAGGGUCCCAAAGAUUACCAAAUCUUGUUAUCCAUGAAGGUACUGGAAUUCACUACCGAGCCCGUAUGGUACCUGCUUUCCUUACGAAGGGUUUCUCCGGAACAAACAAAAUUUCCUGCCCCUUUUUCAAUCAAAGAAAACUUGUGAAUUUAAAUAUGGUGGUUGGUUUAUGGCCUUGAACUUUGAAGGUGAUUGCUCCUUCAACUUCCAUGGUUGCUUCGAUUUCAACUCAAAAGACCUUCCCUGUUUAUUGACUGACCAUUUUCUCUAUCACCCUUAUUAUGGAGAAUACCUCUAAUCCGUUCAAACUCAAUACCAUUCGUCUAUUGCGUUGUGCUUAUCCAUUGAAAUAUACUAAAUCUUUGUGUUUCACAUGAAUCCCAAAGCACGUCAAUUGUCACUCACUUAGUGCGCAUGUUGUUCUUUCCUGACUUAAAAAACACAUACCUUGGCCUUGAGGUCUAUUGCUCAUUCACUUGCCAUGAUAAACUGAUUUCCACUAGGAAUACCUUCCUUGUCACUAGUUAACCACUUUCUUUGUCAAUCUUAUCACAUAAAAUGCCUUUGAUCCGUUCACCCAACACCCUCCAUCUGUUGCAUUGCUCAUGAAUUGACAUAUACCAAACCUUUAUAUUUCACGUGAAUUCCAAAGUAUGUUAAUUGUUACCAACUCAGUGCGCAUGAUGUUCUUUCCUAACUUAUGCCACUUUGAUGUAUUAUCCAGAUCCCGUUUUGUGCAAUCGAAAUGCUGGUGGCAAAUUUUGAAGUCAUUUCUCACCUGUUCUGACCAAACAGACUCGGAAAAGGAAGUAAAUAAGACAAAAGGAACAGAGUAAAGGACAAUGGAGAGAGGAAAUUCCUAACAAGAAAACUACAAAGUAAAAGUUAAUCAGACGUGGGUAACAACUCUAAUGAUCAUGACAUGCACCUUUGAAUUAAGUGGUCUAAUCUGCCAAGCAAUUCUGAUGUUCAACUCUUGUUAUACCCCUAAGCUGUGGAACUGGGCUUCAAAGCUCCUAUUAUACAAUCUAAUUGACGAUCCUUAGUUGACUUGUAGCAUCCGAAGGGUUUUCACCAUCAAGCCUCUCUCAUUUUGUUCUUUCACUCAAUUUACCAUCGCCUUAUGUGCCUGUGAAGGUUUUCUCUGAUAAUACUCUCACAUUUUUGUUUUUUUGUGUAGAACAGAGUGAAUCCCCUGAUGUGAAUCAUACCUCUAGCUCGGUUAACUUGGCGCAACUCAAAGAUUGAUCGGAAGAUCUUUCUUUGAACCGUAAUGUAAGCUUUUAGAUAGGAUUAUAAAGAAAGGGUAUCAUGAAAGCUCAAAACAACUUGAAAAGGCUCAAAAUUACAACUUUUAGAAUCAAAUCUCUUACAACAACCACAACUUCUGCCCCAGUUUCUUGGCUUGGGGACUUUGAAUUUUUAUUUUGAUGGGAGCAAACCGUGAGGCUGCCUACGUAUCCUUAAAAGGAAUCAAGUCGAACGUAGUUCAUGGUAUAGGAAUUGCUUUGUUUUUGUACUUUUCUCUCUUUUUUUCUUUCUUCUCUUCUCUUUUUUUCUCUUUUCUCUUCUUUUUUUCCCGCUCUUAUCCAUUCUUUUCUUUCUCUUUUUCCUUCUCUUUUUCCUUCUCCUUUCUCUUUUAUUCUUUAUUUACCUUUUGUGUCUGUGUUUCUAAACUUUGCUAUUGAUUCCAAAAUAGGGGUAUGAGAGAAAAUAAACAAGGCUCAAAGGGGUAACAAGGGGUAAAAUGUUUAGAUAGUAGAAUAAAAUGCCUUCAUCAUUCCAAUCUCCAAAACAUGCCAAGUACAAACAACACAAUUAAACAAACCAAAGAAAUCAUACAUAAUAUCUUUUUACUAUAUCAGGAUUGAUAACCAUAUCCACAUAUUCGCCUUCUACAUCUGUUAAAUAUAAAGCACCAUUGGACAACACUCUUGUUACCACGAACGCCCCCUGCCAAUUUGGGGAAAACUUACCUUUAGCUUCAACCUGAUGUGGCAGGAUGCGUUUUCAUGGUGUUAUGCUCUAUUUGCCCCAGUUUCAACAAUUCAGGCUUGAGAUGAUCUCAAAAUACCUUUACUUAUUUUCUUCAAAUGUCCCUAUUAUCAUCAAAUUGUUUCAUUGCUUCAUGACUAAACUAACUUUUAACAAGGCUGAGAAUUAUGUAUGCAUGUCAUGUCACUAGAGUCAACAUGAAAAGAACCAUAAAAGGAGAAGAGAACUAAACAAAGAAAAAAGACUAUAAAUAACAGAAAAUAGAAAAUUGCAUUAGACAAAUAGUAAAAAGGUUUAAACAACAAGACAAGCAAAACACACUAGGGUUACGACCUUGGAAAAACCUUAAUAACACUAAAAUGAGUACUAUGACUAAAAGGAUAGAAGGGUUUGAGUCAAAAUAUAAUAUCCGGAUUACAUUUCUAAAAUAAACUAGACAAUAAAGAUGGAAAUAAAAUAAACCACCUAGAUUUCUCCCUGGUUAGCCAAGCAAGGAGCAUCUUUUUCCAAUCACCAAGCUCAAAAUCUUAGCCAUUGUGUUCUGCAUCAACAAUACUAGGACCUUCACAAGUCUUCAUUACAUUAACUCUAGCAAAUUGCAUUUGGGUCCCUUUUGCCAGCUCGUUCUUAAGAUCAACCUAUGAUAGCGCUGAAAGCUUGGCAGCUCGUGGACCUUCGAGGAUCUCAGAAGAAUUCUCAAAUUCCUUUUCAAAACAAAAUCAUACCCACCAAAUGUGUCUCAUUAUGAAUAGGUGAUACACUUUGGCUAGUAUAUACUGCAUUUGGAUUUUUCACGACAAUGUCACCUGCAUCAAUAAGCUUUUGAAUUGCUUUUUUCAGAUGCCAACACUUUUCUGUGCUGUGAGCUGGAGCAUCAGAGCAAUAUGCGCACCUUUGAGAAAAAUCAAACUUUUUUGGAAGAGGGUUUGGCAUUUGUUUCUGAAUCGGCUUCAACAUGUCCAAUUGUCUUAGCCUCUAAAAUAGACUAGUAUAUGAUUCUCCAAUAGGAGUGAAAGUCUUUUCUUUUUUUUUGGUCGUCUUUUUAUUUUGUACUCUAGCUUCGGUUGGAACCUUUUGCGGGCAGUUGGUUGAUAUGCCUAAGUGGGCGGGUAAGACAUUUGUGGAAGUGGUGUGGGCCAUCACAUGCCUCGUGUAUGUGAAGCGUAUGGUUGUGCAUUGUGGACGGGGUAUUAGUAAAGAUAUACGAUUUUAGGGGUUCUGUGAAGAGAAGUAUCAUUGGGGAGGAUAUUCUGGAACACAGGGAUAUCCAUGGGGUCGAUAUUGAGGCUGAAAGCAUUGAGCAAGAGUGCCCACUGGACCAUCCUUUCUAUUUUUAUUUAUUCCACCCAAACUUACUGAGAUGUUUUGAAUGUCUUCUGUAGUAUCUUUCAACGCCGAAUAAAUCAUGAUUUUGCCUGACUUGACUCCCUAUUCUACCAUCUCCUCCACUUUUACUACAUCAUUGAAAGGUUUACCCAAAGCCGGGAUCAAAUGACUGAAGUAGGUAGGCCCAUGGGCUUGUAGGAAAAGCUAAACUAUUUCUUCUUAACCAAUCAGGGGACUGACUCGAGAAGCUUGUUCCCUCCAUCUAAGCCCAAACUCCCUAAAGCUUUCCUCCGAUUUCUUUUUCAUCUUAAAUAGGAAUGAUCUGUAAGGGGUAAUAUCUAUAUUGUAUUGAAAGUGUCAAAUAAAAUCUUGAGCCAUGUCGCCCAACGCAUGCCACUAAACGACAUAUUGACGAUUAUGCCAUUCCAAAGCUACCUCAAUCAAGGUCUCACUGAAAUACGCCAUCAACAAAUCAUCUUUCUUGCCAACACUUCUUUUUUCACCGUAAUAAUCCCUCAGAUGGGCUAUCAGAUCUCCAUACCCAUCAUACAAGUUAAAGUUUGGCACUUUCAACCCCGCUGGCAGGCGAACGCCAGGGAACAUACACAAUUCUUUGUAAGACAUGUUAACCUGGUCUCCCAUCCCUUGCAUGUUCUUUAAGGACUGUUUUAUACCUUUCAGGUUCAUGGAUAUAUCAUCUCUCCCUUCUUUUCCAAUGAACUUUUCAUUUUCAACAUGAGGAUUAUCCCGAGGGCUCUGCUUUUAUGAGUCAGAAACCUUGUGGGCAACCUUUGAGGGGUUAUAUUGGGCAUCAUGAGCUUUGAAUAGGUGUUCAUUGUUGGGGAUAGUGGACAUGACAUGAGGGAAAUUUAGGAGAGAGGUAAUAGAAGUAUGAGUGAUGGAACUACUAGGGUGGUUGGAAAAGUUUGCGUGAUAAGCAGGUGGAUCUGGAGAGUAUAGGGGAUCAUCUGGCACUAUGACCAGAGUUUAGGUAAGGGUAGAGCCUAAAAAGCUAGGUGGUGGCGGAGGUGGUGCCUUCCUAGUCAUCCAAGCCUAAUAUAUGUCCACCAUGUGUUGUCUUAACAUCCUCACCUCUUCAACCAACCCAUUGCCCUAUUCAAACAAUAACUUUUUGGUACCAGUAUCAAAUGACUCGAUCCCGUUGUCGUCUGCCAUGCCUUUCGACCUCAUGUUGUAGAGAAGAGUUACCACUUUAAGAACCACAAACCAACUACCUUUCUACUAAGAAGAUGAAGUCAUCACGUUAGUGUUAGGGCAUUUAACAUAAGAUAAUAUCACUUUAUACUUAAUGCACCUAGCCACAGUUAUCGGUUCUAAAAUGACUUUGAGGGUACGAAAGUCAGUUGACAUCAUCCCAAUUUGUUCAUUUCAAUCCUCUCAUUUCUUUGUUUUUCUAGCACUUCCUGGCUUGCUCAUUUUCCCUUUUUUUUUAUUAUCGCUCAUUUCUUUCUCUCAUUUCUCAUGUCCCACAACUUCAUCCAUUUUUCUCUGUUUUUCUUCUUUUCCUUUUUCUAUUAAUAAAUAAAAAAACAAUUCGAUCGAACCCUAUGUAGGUUGCCUAUGUAUCAUGAUGCUGCAUGAAUCAGAUCUUUGAGUAGUUUGGGAAGAACAUGAAUAACGUAAACAAACUAACACUUUCCUUUUCUUUUUUCUUUUUCUUUUUACCUCAAUGACUGCUUUGAUGAGAAAGGAGAAAUAAAAGAAGCAAAUCUUUUUUUUUGAAUUUUUCAGACUUGAUAUUUAAUAAUUUAUUAUAAACUCAAGCUUAACAGUCAUAUAUAGUUUGGAAACAAAUACUCUAUGGGAAAUUAUUAAGGAAAACUCAUAGAAUAGACGUUUUGAAAGAAAUCUAAAGAGUGAACCCAAAGAAAAAUAUUUUAAAUUUUCACUUGAUAUCAAUUUUGAAUAAGAUAAAAAAUAUUAUUGGAUUUUAAUUUUUAAUUGCCUAAGGAAGAUACUCUGAAUAUAAACAAAAAAUAAAGUAUAUUUUUUUCUUCUAUGUAUAAUUCCUAAAGUUCUAGUGAAAAUUAAAUAAAAAAAUUUUAAAGUCAUUUUUCAUCAAUUUCCCAAAGAAACCUCAAAAGAAUUUUUUUUUUUUUGGAAUUAAUAUCUUAAAGAAAACAUUUUUAAAAGUACUAAAAGAAUAUUUUUUUGAAUUUUUUGUCCAAAUAUACUAAAGGAAAUAUAAAAUAUUUUUUUUAUUUUAAAUUCUAGAUAUUAAUUGCCUAAAUACAAAAACACCUUAAAUGAUUUUUUUUAAUUCCUAGAAUUAGUAUUCUAAAGAAAACUUUAACGGAAAUAUAAAAUGCAAAAUCUCUUGUUCUUUUUUUUUUUGGAUUUUUGAGUUACACCAUACUCUUUAAAAUACGAAAUAGAAAGUACAAUAACAGAAAAGUUGACAUUAUUGUACAAAACUAGAAAGUAAAAGAAGACAUAAAAAAAACAUACUCAAAACAUAAAAAAACCAAAAAAUUUCUAAAGCAAUUCUUGAAUGAGCGAUCUUGACUAGAUGGUCCUAAGGCGUCUCACAUGCUCAGACUCUGAUAGGUAAAUCCACAUCUGUAUGAGAAACUAAAACCAACACUAUGUGAUACAAUAAUAUUUCCUACUAGACGCAUGCAAGACAUAAUUGUGACUAUUUUUCUAAAAUUAACUCAUGUGGCUAAAAGUGGCUAAAAAUACAAGAUUUGGCUAUGACCCCGCGAAUCCAAGAAUCUAAAACUAACUAGGAAGAUUGGACCCUAUAUGGGCUGCCAACGUAUCAUGCCCCGAAAGACGAGAAUCAGGUAUGCGUAAUUCGGGCAAAUUGGAUACGGUCGAGAAUUAAAAAAUAAUAAUUAAUUUAGAGAAAACGUAUAAUGAAACAUGUGAACUCUUUUUGCAUUUUCUUUUCCCCCUUUUUUUGAUUUUCGAAAAAUGAUGAAAAAGUGUAAUUUUUUUUUUGAUUUUUUCAUGUUUAAUUUUUUAACAAAUAUGUGACAGAAAAUAUAAUUGGGCCCUACUUGCUUUAUUUUUUUUUAACAAACAUGUGACAGAAAAUAUAAUUGGGCCCUACUUGCUUUAUUUUCACACUUAACCCUCCUUUUUCUUCCUCUUCUUUUUAUUGGCCCUCAACUAUUAUUGGUCCGUCAAAUGAUGCUUUUACCCUUGAAGAAAUGUAAUAUGUAGCACAUAUGAUGCAUGAAGAUGGUCUGUUAUUUUGGGUACACUUGUCCUAGACGGACCCAACCCCUGUGUUGAGUCCCCUAAGUCAAAUGUACAUGAUGCAAACGAAUGUUCCUACUAGGGAUCCGGUAUGAGGGUAUAUUUUUCCAGGUUUAACUCCUAGGGUUGUGUUCUAGACCUGGCUUACCCGAGCGGACAACUGGGGCCGAAGAGGGGACAACGUACCGAGAGCACUAAAGUCUACUCGGCCUUGUUGUUCGCCCAGACUCAUUCUAUUUGGUAUUAUUUUUAUAGAAAAAGCAGGGCACGCGAACGUGUGCACCAUUUUCAAAAGACUUAGAGGGUGGAGUAAGAAGACAGUUAUAUACAGUUCAAACAAUAUCAAAGGGAUAUGCAAAUAGCAUUUAGCACAAAAGAUUCAUAGAACACGGUAAUAUGAACAAUAAAAUAAAGCCAAGUAAAAAUCAUAAAACAAGCUCAAAUUCUUGAACCCUAAAGCAGAAGUUCUGGGUUCUUCACCACUUGGGAUAAUUUAUGGGGUCCCAAAUCACUGGUUUAAAAUCCCAAAGUUGACUUUGUUAUACACUCUGCGAACACAGAAAUCCAGGUAAGGAAUUCUGUUAAUCCGGGAGAAGGUGUUAGCCAUUCCGUGAUUCUAGAACGGUCGCUUUGAUCAUACUUGGCUUAAUCAAAUUGUUUAACUACUCAUUUUAGAACCUAUGUGCAUUUACCUUUUACCACUUUUAAAUUAAGAAAAUCAUCUUGAAACGGGUCACGCGUACGUGUACCUAUUAGCUCGGCGCGUCAAAAGUCAUGUCACACGAGCAUGUCGACAAUAAAUAUUGCUUUAUUAUUAAUAAGGAAAGUUUGGCUAAAGUUGCACAAACGCAUACUCCGAUUUUAUUUUUAAAAUUAUGAUCAUGUCACGCGAACGUGCACACAAUCACAAUUGCAUCUUAAACGCGCUUACAAGUUUUUCUACGAAUAUUCGUUAUUAAUAACUAAAAAAAGUUUUUGUGAGGGCUAUAGGUGAUUUAAUUAAAUGUCACACCUCAAAUUGUUUGUAAUGGGCUUCGCUUAACCAACACAACCCACUAAUGUUUUUGUUAAGGGAAAAAUGAACCAUCAGUGAAAGAGCUUGAGGCACAUGUGCUAGUCUUUUUGAAUUAUUUUUGGGUAAAUGUGGGGCAACUACAAGCCCAAAUUACUACAGAGAUGGAAAGAGAAAACAAGGCUAAUGGAGAGUUUGGGGUAAUUAUUUGUGUUUUGUGGUAUCAGGUCUGUUGGAUCGAGUUCGAAAUAGUUUUGAUAAGUUUUGAGACACUUAGGAGUGUUUGGUAUGAAGGAAAAUAUUUUCCAGAAAAUAUUUUUCAAUUUUUCCAUGUUUGGUUGGCUUAAAUGUUUUCGAAAAUAUUUUCCUUGUCAAUUCAUUUUCCUCCAAUUGAAGGAAAAUGUUUUUCUUACCAAGAGACGGUGAAAUAUUUUCCAAGCUCCUUCUCAAUCUUCUCCACCCUCACCAGCCCACCCCACCCCCUCUACAAAAAAAGUUUUUUUCCAAAUUUCAGUUUUUCUGUUACAACCCACCCUACUACUUCUCCAUCCCUCCCCCCUCACUGUUCCAAAAAAAAUAAUAUUUUUUUACCUUAAUUUUUUUUGUAAUUUCAAAUUUUUAUUUUUUUACAUUUUCCUGCACCCCCCCCCUCGCACAAUUUUUUUUAUUUUUUUAUAAUUUAAAUUUCUAUUUUUUUUAUUUUACUGCCCCCAGCCCCACCACCCACCNNNNNNNNNNNNNNNNNNNNNNNNNNNNNNNNNNNNNNNNNNNNNNNNNNNNNNNNNNNNNNNNNNNNNNNNNNNNNNNNNNNNNNNNNNNNNNNNNNNNNNNNNNNNNNNNNNNNNNNNNNNNNNNNNNNNNNNNNNNNNNNNNNNNNNNNNNNNNNNNNNNNNNNNNNNNNNNNNNNNNNNNNNNNNNNNNNNNNNNNNNNNNNNNNNNNNNNNNNNNNNNNNNNNNNNNNNNNNNNNNNNNNNNNNNNNNNNNNNNNNNNNNNNNNNNNNNNNNNNNNNNNNNNNNNNNNNNNNNNNNNNNNNNNNNNNNNNNNNNNNNNNNNNNNNNNNNNNNNNNNNNNNNNNNNNNNNNNNNNNNNNNNNNNNNNNNNNNNNNNNNNNNNNNNNNNNNNNNNNNNNNNNNNNNNNNNNAAAAAAUUUUAUAGUUUAAAUUUCUAUUUAUUUUUUUUAAUUUUACUGUCCCCCCCACCCCACCCCAACCCCACCUUCCCGAAAAAAAACAUUUUAACUUUUUUUUUGUAGUUUAAAUUUCUAUUUUUUCUAUUUUACUGUCCCCCCUCCCCCGAAAAAAUAUUUUAAAUAUAUUUUUCAGUUUUAGUUUUAUUAUUUAUCGGUUUAAAGGCUUAAAAAUUUAUAAGUUCCAAAAUUAUGAGUUCGGAGGUUUAUGUGUUUGUAAGUUUACGGGUCUAAAAAUUAUAAAGUUUACGCGUUCGAAGUUUCGCGGUUUUGAAAGUUUAGCAGUUCAAAAAUUUAUGAAAUUUGUGGGUCCGGAAGGUUGUUGGUCUGAAAGUUCAUGGCUUCAUAUUUAUUAUAUCUAAAUUAUUUAUGAAUACUCUUGAGAAGUUAUUUUUAUUAAUUUGCAUACCAAACACCAAAAAAUAAAUAAUAUUACUACUUGUUUUCCAAGAAAACAUUUUCUUGGAAAAUAAUUUCCACGGAAAACAUUUUCUGUUAUACCAAGCACACCUGUAGUCUCUUUUAAGAAGGUUUGAGUUGGAAAAGUCAACCGGAUGUUGACUUAUGUAUUAGAGGGCUUAGAUGUGAGUUCUGAUGGUUCGAUUAUAUUCGGGAGGUGAUUUAUGACUUAAGGGGUGUGAUCGGAAUGGAUUUUGGGGGUCCGAAGUUGAAUUAGGCUUGAAUUGGUGAAGUUGAUAUUUUGGUAAUUUUCUGUUGAUAGGAGAGAUUUUGAUCCAUGGGUCGGAAUAGAAUUCCGAGAGUUGCAAUAGCUUUGUUGUGAAAUUUGGGAUUUGUGUGUAAAAUUUCUGAUCAUUCGGACAUGUUUUGGUUGGGUUUUUUAUCAAAAGCAUAUUUCGGAAGAUUUUAGAAACUUAGGCUUGAAUUUGAUAUGUUUUAGUAAAUUGGUGUUGUUUGAGAUGUUUUGAUUAUUGGAACAAGUUUGAAUAAGGUUUUAGGAUGUGUUGAUGCCUUUGGCUGAGGUCCCAGGGGCCUCGGGUGAGUUUCAGGUGGUCAAUCAGAUCAUUUCUAAGUUGGAAAAAUUGCAGAAGUUCAGGUUCAGCUGCUGUAGGAUUUUGCCCUUCGCGAUCGCGAGGGGAGUCCUGCGAUGGCAUAGAAGGAUUUGAGGAAGUGUCCCAGUUGUUCUUCGUGUUCGGGGAGUUAGGCUUGCAAUCGCAUUAUUUAGAGAGUUGGUUAAUUGCGAACGCGGGUAAGGGGUCGUGAUCGCAUAAUGUUAAAUGGACCAAGGGUCUUGGAUGGACUUUUUUCAAUGCGAACGCGGGAAGAGGUCCGCGAUCGCGUAGGGUCAGUGGCUUAGGCAUUGCGAUCGCAAAGCCCUAAACGCGAUCGCAUAGAGUUAUUUUGGGAGCUAAGUUUUUUGUGCUUUGCGAUCGCGAAGGUUUUUCCACGAUCGCGAUGAAGGAAAUGAGGCCUGGGCAGAAUGGUUUUAAACUCGUCUUGUUUUCCAAUGUGGGUUUAUUUUCAUCCAUACCUGCUCGUUUUUGGAGGUUUUUGAAGGAGAUUGAAGAGAUAUUCAAGGGGUCAUUUUGAUGUAAGAAUUUUGAACUCAAAACUUGAAUUUAUUGUGAAAUCUACCUAGUAAAUCAUGGAAUUUAAGCUAAAAAUGGAAGAAACUAGGGCUUUGAAUCUUGGACUUUUGAAUUAGGAUUUGAAGGACCAUUUGGGGUCGGAUUUGAGAACUUUUGAUUUGUAUGAUCUCGUGGGGAGAUAAGAAAUCUAUUGAUGUAAAAAUUUCUAUGAUUCUAGAAGUGGGCCCAGGGCUUGGGUUUUGCUAAUUUCGAGAUUUUUGAUAUUUUUCGAUCGUUAUCGCUUGGGCUUUGUCCCCUUAGCAUGUUGUGAUGUAUUCGUUCUAAUUUUGACUAGAUUUAACGCGACUGGAGGCCGAUUCGAGAGGCAAGGGCGUAGCAUAGUAGUAUUUUCACCGGUUUGAGGUAAGUAACUAUUGUAUAUCUUGAACUGAGGGUACAAAACCCCAGCAUUUGACUUGCUUUGAUAAACACGGUGACGUGCAUGCUAAGUGACGAGCGUAUGGGCGUGCACCAGUAGAGAUUGUGAUUUGGUCCGUCCUGUAUCGACUAUUAAGCCACGUAUUUUAUUUGGAAAUGUUAUAAUAUUCUGGAUUUUUGGAUCCUUAUACUAUAUUAUGGACUUUAUGCCAUGUUUGGGGCCUUGUGCCGAUAUGUAGCAGCCCCUAGGGGAAUUUUAACUGUUUUCCUAACUUUACUCAUUAAAAGCACAUCCUCAGUCAUGUUUUUGCUUGUUAAAUGUUUAAAAUUGAUUUUAUUAUUCUACUCCUAUAAUGAGGACUAUUGGGCUGGGUUCCUUAAAUUCUAUUGUGGUGCCCAAGAGGCUGUGAGGCUAAUGACGCGCUGGCUGUAGAAGCCCCUCCGGGGAUUGCACACCCCCAGUAAGUGUAGUCGACUAUAAUUAUAUGUAUCGGGAUGCACACCUCAGUGGUUACUAUAAUUUCUAUUGUUAUGAGAUUAAAUGAGCGGAGUGCUUAGAGUAAGUACUGAGUGACGAGAGUUGAGUCACGAGUGAUUGAGAGGCUGCCCAAGGGGCCAUAUUCUUAGUGUUCCUUUGCCGAGAGGCCCUAUUAUGAUGUUUCUACUUUUUCACUCUUUUUUUGAAUAAGCCUUUGAUGGAUAUAUUUCUAAAUAACUGAUUUCAAUGUUUUAAAUGGAAACGAUAAUUUUUAUGACGGAACUAAUUUUAAAGCUAUAUGUUUUCAAAUUUCUCGCCACUGCUUUCAGUACUUAUUUACUUUAGUUACUUACUGAGUUAGCGUACUCACGUUACUCCCUUCACCUUGUGUGCAGAUCCAGGUACCCGAGCGACCGAGUGAGAGCUUUUCAGUUGUUCACCAUCUGUCGGGGAUUUUGAGGUAGUUGCAUGGCGUAUGCGAGCCUGAUUUCUCCCCUCUAUCUUGUUAUCUUUCCGCAUUUUCCAGAUUAUUUAUGUAGUGUAUUCUUAGAGUUGUAUUAGAGGCUCUAGACUCGUGAUGCCAGAUCAUAUGGGCAGUGUAGUUUCUAUGACAUGUUGAAUUCGAUUAUCUUUCUUGUUGUUUUAAACACUUAUUAUGAUAAGUGGUAACUAAACCGUGUUAGCAAAUGACUUAUUAAGUGAAAAGGGGUUGUGGUUUGAUAGUUGGUCCGACUUGCCUAGUAAUGUGAUAGGCACCAAUACGAUCGGUAUUAGGGGCCGUGACAAGUUGGUAUCAGAGCCAAGGUUAUAUAGGUCUUGCAAGUCAGGAGCCGAUUUAGUAGAGUCUUGCGGAUCGGUAUAGAGACGUCUGUAUUUAUCCUCGAGAGGCUGAAGAACCUUUAGGAAAUUUCACAUUCUUGAAAUUCUUAUCGUGCGAGUUUGUUGAUCCGAGUACUAAACUUUUAUUAUUCUUUUCUCUCACAGAUGGUGAAGAUACGCGCUACUAGACAUGAUGGACGACCACCAGUGCCACCAAUUGUGGCCACCAAAGGCCGAGGAUGCGGUCGUGGUCAUGGUAGGGGCAGAGCAGUAGGGACAACACCUGCAGAUCCACCAGCUGCCCCAGUUCAGGACUAGGUCCCAGUUGUGGAUUCUACAGCAAUACCAGCUCAGGCACCAGCUGUGCCUAUUAUGAUUUCAGACCUUUAGUAAGCCUUAGCCCAGAUCUUAUCAUUAUGUAAUGGUUUGGCUCAGGCGGUCUCAGCUACUACAGCCGAAUCUACUUCACAGACUGGGGGAGGGAUUCAGACCUUCGUUGCUCCCACACCUGAUCAGGUUGUGUAGGGACUCCAGACACCAGGAGCACCUCUAGCCCAGCCGGUUGCACCAGUUUAGGAUUUUGUAGUACCAGUUAUGCCAUAUGAUAAACAAUGUUGACUCGAGAGGUUUGGUAUACUCCAGCCUCCGACAUUCAGCGGUGCAGAGGGCGAGGAUGCCUAGGGUUUCUUGGAUAAGUGCCGGUGGAUACGUUGUACAGCAACGAUUCUUGAGACUAGUGGUGUGGCAUUUACUACCUUUUAGUUUGCUAGGCUUACCUUCAUUUGAUGGGAGGCGUAUGAGAGGCGUAGGCCUGCUGGUGCAACGCCCCUUACAUGGCAGCAAUUAUCUGUUCUCUUUCUGGAGAAGUAUGUGCCACAGUCGCACCGAGAAGAGUUGCAUAGGCAGUUUGAGCAGCUGCUUUAGGGGGAGAUAACGAUGAUGCAGUAUGAGAUGCAAUUCUCUAAGUUAGCAUGCCAUGCAAUUUGGUUAAUUCCCACAAAUCGAGGGACGAUCAAAAGGUUUGUUGAUAGCCUCACAUACCAGCUCUGUAUCCUCAUGACCAGGGAGAGGGUGAUUGUUGCUACAUUCCAGGAGGUUGUGGAUAUUGCUAGGAAGAUUGAGUCUGUCCAUCAUUAGGAACGGGAAGAGAGGGAGGCCAAGAGGCCUCGAGGAUCUGGUAGCUACAGUGGCACUCCUUCGAGGGGCCAGUUUCAGCACGGCAGAAGCCGACAGUUCCAACAUGGUCAGUCUGAUCGCUCAGUUUAACGAGGGGCGCCAUUGGGUUAGGGUUCCCACAGUUCACACCAGGGCCAUUCAUCACUUAGUGCCCUUCCAUCUCAGAGCUCAUCCCGUGCUCCAUCUGUUCAGGGCUCAUCUGUGCAAAGUGUACCUACUAGUCACUACGGUGCAAGGUGUUCCCUUCAAUCAGUAUCUCCGGAACCGGGGAGUUGUUAUGAGUGCGGGGAGUUUGGACAUAUAAGGAGACAGUGUCCUUGCUAUGUUGCUAGUUCAUCCCAACAGAGGGGCCAGUCAUCAGCUUCGGCUCCAAUUGCUCCCCUACCACCCGCCCAGCCAGCUAGGGGUAGGGAUCAGUCAGCUAGGGGUCGCCCCAAAGGGGGAGGUCGCUCAGGGGGAGGUCAGGCCCAUUUCUAUGCUAUCCCAGGUAGAUCUGAUGUUAUUUCCUUUAAUGUUAUCAUUUAGGUAUUAUUUAGUCUUCCAUAAAGAUGCCUCUGUAUUAUUUGAUCCUGGAUCCACCUUUUCUUAUGUGUCAUCAUACUUUGCUCAUUAUUUGGGUACGCCCCGUGAGAUUCUUGCUUUACCUGUUCAUGUAUCUACUCUAGUGGAUGAUACUGUUGUUGUACACCGUGUGUAUCGAUCAUAUGUGGUGGCUAUUGGGGGUCUGAUGACCCGAGUUGAUCUUUUAUUACUGAGUAUGGUGGAUUUUAAUGUCAUUCUAGGCAUGGAUUGGCUAUCUUUGUGUCAUGUUAUUCUGGACCGUCAUGUUAAGAUAGUCACAUUGGCUAUGCCAGGUGUGCCACGGAUUGAGUGGCGAGAUGUAAUUGAUUACGUUCCUAGUAUAGUGAUUUCUUUCUUGCAGACCCAACGUAUGGUUGGGAAAGGUUGUAUUUCGUAUCUUGCCUUUGUGAGAGAUGUGGGAGUUGAGGCUCCCAGUAUUGAUUUUGUCCCAAUUGGGAGGGAUUUCCCUGAUGUAUUUCCUGCAGACCUGUCGGGUAUGCCACCAGACAAGGGUAUUGAUUUUGCUAUUGACCUAGUGCCGUACACUCAGCCCAUCUCUAUUCCGACGUAUCGUAUGACACCAGCAAAACCGAAGGAGUUAAAGGUGCAGCUUUAGGAGAUCCUAGAUAAGAGGUUCAUUCGGCCUAAUGUGUCACCUUAGGGUUCGCGGUUCUGUUUGUGAAGAAGUAAGAUGGCACUAUUAGAAUGUGUAUUUAUUAUUGAACAAAGUAACAAUUAAGAACAAGUAUCAUUUGCCUCGCAUUGAUGAGUUAUUCGGCCAGCUUAAGGGAGCGGGGGUAUUCUCCAAGAUUAAUCUCCGUUUGGGUUAUCACCAGUCGAAGAUCAGGGGUUCAGAUAUUCUUAAGAAAUCCUUCAGGAUCAAAUACAGUAACUAUGAGUUCCUGGUUAUGUAUUUUAGGCUGACCAAUGCCCCAACAAAGUUCAUGCCUUUGAUGAACAGCCUGUUUUGGCCUUAUCUUGACUCAUUUUUCAUAUUUUUCAUUGAUGAUAUCCAGGUAUAUUCGCAUAGUCAGGAGGAGCACGCAGAGCAUUUGAGGGUUGUGUUGCAGAGAUUAAGGGAGGAGAAGCUUUAUGCAAAGUUCUCCAAGUGUGAGUUUUGGAUCAGUUCAGUGGCAUUCUUAGGGCACAUGGUGUCCAGUGAGGGUAUUCAGGUCGAUCCAAAGAAGAUAAAGGCGGUUCAGAGUUGGCCCAGACCGUUCUCAGCCACAGAGAUUCGUAGUUUUCUUGGUUUGGCUGGCUAUUAUCGCCGGUUUGUUCAGGGAUUAUCAUUUAUCGUAUCGCCCUUGACCAAGUUGACUCAGAAGGGUGCUUCAUUUGUAUGGUCGGACGAGUGUGAGGAGAGCUUUCAGAAACUCAAGAUAGCUUUAACCACAUCUCCAAUGUUGGUUUUAUCAUCAGCUUCAGGUUCAUAUACAGUAUAUUGUGAUGCUUCGAGAGUAUGGAUUGGUUGUGUGUUAAUGCAGAAGGGUAGAGUUAUUGCAUAUGCUUCUCAUCAGUUGAAGCCCCAUGAGAAGAACUACCAUGUUCAUGAUUUGGAGCUAGCUGCCAUAGUUCACGCAUUGAAGAUUUGGAGGCAUUAUUUGUAUGGCGUGUCUUAUGAGGUAUUCACUGAUCAUCGCAGUCUUCAACAUUUGUUCAAGCAAAAGGAUCUUAAUUUGAGAGAGCGGAGAUGGUAAGGAUUAUGAUAUCACUAUAUUGUACCAUCUGGGAAAAGCCAAUAUGGUGGCCGAUGCUUUGAGCCGAAAGGCAGUGGGUAUGGGGAGUUUGGCAUAUAUUCCAGUUAGGGAGAGACCUCUUGCGGUUGAUGUUCAGGCUUUGGCCAAUCGGUUCAUGAGGUUGGAUAUUUCUGAGCCCAGCCAGGUAUUGGCUUGUGUGGUAUCUCGGUCUUCUUAUAUGAUCGCAUUAGAUAGCGCCAGUAUAAAGGUCCGUAUUUGUUUGUCCUUAGGGACAGAGUUCACCAUGAUGAUGCAACAAAUGUGACAAUGGGUGAUGAUGGAGUGUUGAGGAUGCAGGACAAGAUUUGUGUACCUAAUGUGGAUAUGCUUCGGGAGUUGAUUCUGGAGGAAGCCCAUAGCUCGCAGUAUUUUAUUCCUCUAGGAGCCGCAAAGAUGUAUCAGGAUCUGAGACAGGAUUACUAGUGGAAGAGAAUGAACAAAGAUAUUGUGGGAUAUGUAGCUCGGUGUCUCAAUUAUCAGCAGGUGAAAUAUGAGCAUCAAUAACCGGGUGGCUUGCUUCAGCAGAUAGUUAUUCCGGAGUGGGAGUGAGAGAGGAUCACUAUGUACUUUGUUGUUGGACUUCCAUGGACUUUGAAGAAGUUUGAUGCUAUUUGGGUAAUUUUGGAUUGGCUGACCAAGUCCACACACUUCAUCCCUAUUUGUACUACUUAUUCUUCAGAGCGGUUAGCAGAGAUAUAUAUUUGAUAGAUUGUUCGGUUGCAUGGUGUCCCCGUUUCCAUUAUUUUAGAUCGGAGCACUCAGUUUACUUCCCAAUUUUGGAAGUCUAUUCAGCGAGAAUUAGGUACCCAGGUUGAGUUAAGCACAACUUUUCAUCCUCAGACGGACUGGCAAUCUGAGUGCACUAUUCAGAUGUUGGAGGACAUGUUGCGUGCUUGUGUUAUUAACUUCGGAGGGUCAUAAGAUUAGUUCCUACCGCUCAUAGAUUUUGAUUAUAACAACAUCUACCAGUUGAGUAUUCAGAAGGCUCCAUAUGAGGCUUUGUAUGGGAGACGGUGUAGAUCUCCAGUUGGUUGGUUCGAGCCUGGCGAGGGUAGGCUAUUGGUGGCUGAUUUGGUCAAGAUGUGUUGGAAAAGGUGAAGGUGAUUCAAGAGAGGCUUCAUACAACAUAGUUGAGGGAAAAGAGUUAUGCUGAUAGGAAGGUUCGAUAUGUGUCUUACAUGGUUAAUGAGAAGAUUUUGUUGAAGGUUUCACCCAUGAAGGGUGUUAUGAGAUUUGGGAAGAGAAGGAAGUUUAGUCUGCGGUUCAUCGGACCCUUUGAGGUACUCCGAAGGAUUGAGGAGGUGUCAUAUGAGCUUUCCUUGCCCCCCAGCUUGUUGACUGUGCACCCGGUAUUUCAUGUUUCUAUGCUCUGGAAGUAUAUUGGGGAUCCGUCUCAUAUCUGCAUUUCAGCACGGUUUAGUUGGAGGAUGAUUUGACUUAUGGUGUAGAGCCUGUAGUUAUUUUGGGUCAUCAGGUUUGGACGUUAAGGUCAAAGUAUAUAACUUCAGUGAAGGUGCAGUGGAGAGGUCAGCCCGUGGAAGAGGCUACCUAGGAGACCGAGCGAGAGAUGCAGAGUUAUCGCUUCAUUUCACCCCUUUAUGCUUUUUUUUUGCUUUGUUAUCCGUAUUUUGUGGUAUCGGGCUGGUCGGAUUGAGUCCAGAAUAGUUUAGAUAAGGUUUGAGACACUUAGUCUCUUUUAAGAAGGCUUGAGUUGGAAAAGUCAACCGGAUGCUGACUUAUCUAUUAGAGGGCUUGGAUGUGAGUUCCGAUGGUUCAGUUAGCUUCGGGAGGUGAUUUAUGACUUAGAGGGUGUGAUCAGAAUGGAUUUUGGAGGUCCGAAGUAGAAUUAGGCUUCAAUUGGCGAAGUUGAUAUUUUGGCAAUUUUCGGUUGAUAGGAAAGAUUUUGAUCUAGGGGUCGGAAUGGAAUUUUGAGAGUUACAGUAGCUUUUUUGUGUCAUUUGGGAUUUGUGUGUAAAACUUCAGAUCACUCAGACGUGUUUUGGUUGGGUUUUUGAUCAAAAGCAUAUUUCGGAUAUUUUAGAAACUUAGGCUUGAAUCCGAUGUGUUAUGAGUAAUUUGGUGUUGUUUAAGGUGUUUUGAUUAUUGGAACAAGUUUGAAUAAGGUUUUAGGAUGUGUUGGUGCCUUUGGUUGAGGUUCCGGGGGCCCCGGGUGAGUUUCGGGUGGUCAAUCAGACCAUUUCUAAGUUGGAAAAUUGCAGAAGUUCAGGUUCAGCUGUUUCAGGGUUUUGCCCUUCGCGAUCGCGACGGGAGUCCUGCGAUCGCAUAAAGGAUUUGAGGAAGUGUCCCAGUUGUUCUUCGCGUUCGUAGAGUUAGGCUUGCAGUCACAUUGUUUGGAGAGUUGGCUAAUUGCGAACGCGGGUAAGGGGUCGUGAUCGCAUAGUGUUACAUGGACCAAGGGUCUUGGAUGGAAUUUGUUCAAUGCGAACGCGGGAAGAGGUCCGCGAUUGCAUAGGGUCAGUGUCUUAGGCAUUGCGAUCGCAAGGCUCUGGACACGAUCACAUAGAGUUAUUUUGGGAGCUAAUUUUUUUGUGCUUCGCGAUCGCGAAGGUUUUCCCGUGAUCGCGAUGAAGGAAAUAAGGCCUGAGCUGAAUGUUUUUAAACUCGUCUUGUUUUCGAAUGUGGGUCUAUUUUCACCCAUAACUGCUCGUUUUUGGAGAACUUUUAAGGAGAUUGAAGAAGGAUUCAAGGGGAAUCGUUUGGAGGUAAUAAUUUUGGACUCAAAACUUGAUUUUAUUGUGAAAUCUACCUAGUAAAUCAUGGAAUUUAAGCUAAAACUGGAAGAAACUAGGUCUUGGAAUCUUGGACUUUUAAAUUGGGAUUUGAAGGACCAUUUGGAGUCGGAUUUGAGAACUUUUGAUUUGUAUGAACGCGUGGGGAGACGAGGAAUAUAUUGAUGUGAAAAUUUCUAAGUUUCUAGAAGUGGGCACAGGCCUCGAGUUUUGCUAAUUUUGAGAUUUUUGGUAUUUUUCGAUUGUUAUAGUUUGGGCUUUGUCCCUUUAGCAUGUUGUGACGUAUUCGUUCUAAUUUUGACUAGAUUCUACACGAGAGGCAAAGGCGUCGCAUAGUAGUAUUUUCAUCGGUUUAAGGCAAGUAACCAUUAUAAAUCUGGAACAGAGGGUAUAAAACCUCGGUAUUUGACUUGCUUUGAUAAACAUGCUGAUACACAUGCUAGGUGACGAGCAUGUGGGCUGGUAGGGACUGUUACUUUGUCCAUCCCGUAGCGAGUAUUAAGCCGCGUAUUUUAUUUGGAAAUGUUAUACUAUUCUGGAUUUUGGGAUCCUUAUAAUGUAUUAUGGGCUUUAUGACAUGUUUGGGGCCUUGUGCCGAUCUGUAGCAACCUUUAGGGGCAUUUUAACUGUUUUCCUCACUUUACUUGUUAAAAGCAUAUCUUCAGUCAUGUUUUUACCUGUUAAAUGUUUAAAACUGGUUUUAUCAUUCUACUCCUAUGGUGAGGACUGUUUGGGCUGAGUUCCCUAAUUUCUGUUGUAGUGUCCGAGAGGCUGUGAGGCUAAUGACUGAGAGAGGUUGAGAACCUUAUGGUGAGGAUAUUAUAUAUAUAUAGUAUGGAUCGGGUUGCACGCUGUAGCGAUACUCAUAUGGAUAGGGAUGCACGCCGUAGCAAUAUAUAUAUUGGAUCGGGUUGUACGCUGUAGCGAUACUUAUAUAGAUCGGGCUGCAUACUGCAACGAUAUAUAUAUUGGAUCGGGUUGCAUGCCGUAAUGAUAUGACGUUUGGACUGUAGGAGCCCUUCCAGAGUCUGCACGCCCCCAAUAAGUGUAGUAGACUAUAAUUAUAUGAAUCAGGCUGCACGCAAUAGCAGUUACUAUAAUUUAUGUUGUUAUGAGAUUAAAUGAGCCGAGUGCUGAGAGUGAGUACUGAGUUACGAGAGUUGAGUCACAAGAGACUGAGAGGCUGCCCGAGGGACCAUAUUCUGAGUAAUCCUUUGCCCGAGGGGCCCUAUUAUGAUGUUUCUACUGUUUCACUCGUCUUUUGAAUAAGCCUUUGAUGGAUAUAUUGGUAAAUAACUAAUUUCAACGUUUUAAAAUGGAAAUGAUGAUUUUUAUGACGGAACUAAUCUUAAUGUUAUCUAUUUUCGAAUUGCUCGUCACUGCUUUCAGUACUUAUUUACUUUAGUUACUCAUUGAGUUGGCAUACUCACGUUACUCCCUGUACCUUGUGUGCAGAUCUAGGUGCCCGAGCAAGCGAGUGAGAGAUUUUCAGUUGUUCACCAUUUGUCGGGGAUUUCGAGGUAGCUGCAUAGCAUCCGCAGCCCUGAUUUCUUCCCUCUAUUUUGUUAUCUUUUCGCAUUUUUCAGAUUAUUUAUGUAGUGAAUUUUCGAACUUGUAUUAGAGGUUCUAGACUCGUAACACCAGAUCAGUGUAGGCUGUGUAGUUUCUAUGUCCUGUUGAAUUCCGCAUAUCUUUCUUGUUGUUUUAAACACUUAUUAUGAUUAUUGGUAAUUAAACCGCGCAAGUGAAAAUGGGUUGUGGUUUGAUAGUUGGUCUGGCUUGCCUUGUAAUGUGAUAGGCGCCAUCAUGACCGGUAUUAGUGGUCGUGACACUGACUCAGUCCAAUUCGAUACCCAAAAUGGGUAGUUUGAGGGAAAUAAUAUUGAGAAGGUUGGGCCCUGAAGUUGAGUCCAAUAGGGGAAGGGAAAUACUUGAGGCCCGACAGGGAUAAGGCUAUAGCCCAGGCGACCCUAUUUAGGCCAAGCCCCUGCCUCAGAUAUUUCAAAUCCAAAAUUGAGUAAAGCCCAAAUGACCUUAACCAUGGAGUCACGAUAGUAUGCAAAAAUCUAACAUUACAGUAUCCAGAUAACAUACCGAACACUUUUCUAAAAAAAACAAACGGCUUAAUGAUGAAAUACACAUGAGAUUCGAAGCCACUAGCCAGUUACUCAACUAUUCCAGUUAGUACCAAAAACGGUUUAAUUUUAUAAAAAUCCUCGAAAUAUGUAGUUUCUUGCUCAAGUUAUAGCCCCCAAAAUGAUAAAGAUUUUAGACUAAAUCCUAAAAAACCCAAAGUAAUGGAAUCAUGUCAUUCAGCAAUUUGGAAUUGAAAUUCAAAUACUGACUUAGCAAAUUUAAACAAACCAACAUAACAUUUCAUGAAUAAAUUAGGCUAGAACACUCAAACCUUCUAAGUGUUCAACCACAAAGGACCCUCAACCCAAAUCCAAAUCAACCUAAGGGGCUAGGAGGCUAAACUAUAACUUGAAGAGUAAACACAAGAUACAACAAAUAAUCACAUGGCAAACAUAUGAAAAGAACUAAAAUUAAUACAUGGAAAGAAUCUAAACGCAUAAGUUAAUAUUCAACAAAAUGAGAUUUAUCCUCAAAUCUUUGACUCGAUACACAUUUCAGAUUUUGCACCUCACAUAGCAUUAGGAGCCAAGGAGUACCUGGAAUUCAAAAACAAACAAGAGAUGAUGAGGAUCUCAGCAAUAACAAAAUAAUGAGUAGAUCAACAAGACAAACAACCAAAUUCAGCUUCCUUGAACCCCAGAUAACCAUUAAAUCGUUUGAGAAAUAACCAAGAAGCAAUUUUAAACCAUUUUCAACCAAAAAAAUGAUGUAGAACUUUUUGUGUUUUUCAAAGCAUUAAUCUUAUCGUUUUAGCAGUUUUGUGCAGAAAAAUGAGCUAAAAAUUCCCCCUCUAAUGAAAGAAAUGCAUCCUCUUUAUAGCCCUAAUAAAAUCCCAUGUGCUGAAUCAGAAUAUGAAAUAUUCUCAACCUGCAGGGUAUCUUUUUUAACUGAGUGGGACAGGUGGCAGUCUUUAAUUGACUCCAUCACUUGUGCUGGCCAAGAUUGGGCCAACUGCCAUAUUCUACAAGUUUCCCCAAUGCAAAAAUCUGAUUUUCUUUUACUCUCAAAACUCCAAAGUUUCUAUUAUUCAGCUAACGCCCCAAUAGUAUACUAGCCAUUACUAACUAAACAAAAAACACAAAAUGAAAAAUUAUCAGAAAAUUAAAUCAAACAGCCGGUUAUUUGCCACAUUUGUUCAUAAUCAAAUGGAAAUGAGCACUGAUCAUUUGGCACCGAAAUCUCAAAACAAAGGAAAACUUAAAAUCUAAAACAUACAAUUGGUGCCAGAAUAUAAAAGAAACAUGAAAACACAAAGAACUAGAAUCACGAUAAAUUUGCCAAAUAGUUAAGAGUCCUAUUUAACUUAAGCAAGUUGACAUUACAAUUAAUUUAAACAAAAUAAACCCCUAUUAAUUCAAACAAUAGAUAAUAACGACUAAUUGAACAAAUAACUAACCAAAACAAAUUCAAACAAGCAGAUAAUUAGAAUUAAACGAAAAUCAGAAAACGAGCAAAAACAAAAUCAAAUAGGAAGAAGUAAAAUAUUGGUCUAUCCGGAAAGAACCAAUGAUUGAGCUAACCCAACGAACAAAGAAGGAGAUGAACUAUGCCAGGCACAGCGGUUCGAUCGAUACAACGAAUCUCGAGUCAAGUCAAAACUAGCAUUAGGCAAAGGUUCUUAACAAGAGAGAUUGCUUAACACUAGUGUUAAGUCAAAUUGAGUCCCGGGAGGCAAGAAAUCACAAUUAGGGUGGAUUUAGGUUUCAUAGAUCUGGUUUUCGGGGAGUUUGAUGGAGUUUUUGGUAGGACGAUUGAUACAAUUAGUGUAGAGGAGAGGCUGGGGAUCACGAGGUGUAAUUUUGAAGAUGGUUUGGGGUGGCACCGCCACCGGAGAUGGUGAUGAGUAUUAGGGCGGCACUAUGGUUCUUGUCUCUAAACAUGGAGACGAUUAUAUGAAGGGAAAUGAAACGGGACAUGGGGUGGCCUAGACUAGGAUUAAUGAUCUCAUUUUUACCACUAAGUAGAAUAUUAAUAAUUUCAUACAACUUAAUAAAUCAAAUACAUUUUUAAGUGAAAAAAUUGUUUGGUCCGCUUUGGGCGUUCGUUUUUUGAGCUUUAAAGGAAUUUCCUUAACCUUCUCCCCUCUCU